UACGUAGGGUGCAAGCGUUGUCCGGAAUUAUUGGGCGUAAAGAGCUCGUAGGCGGUCUGUCGCGUCUGCUGUGAAAACUCAGGGCUUAACCCUGAGCUUGCAGUGGGUACGGGCAGACUAGAGUGCGGUAGGGGAGACUGGAAUUCCUGGUGUAGCGGUGAAAUGCGCAGAUAUCAGGAGGAACACCGGGGGCGAAGGCGGGUCUCUGGGCCGUAACUGACGCUGAGGAGCGAAAGCAUGGGGGGCGAACAGG
rnacentral:rRNA from 1 species